UAGAUACCCUGGUAGUCCACGCCGUAAACGAUGAGUGCUAGGUGUUAGACCCUUUCCGGGGUUUAGUGCCGCAGCUAACGCAUUAAGCACUCCGCCUGGGGAGUACGACCGCAAGGUUGAAACUCAAAGGAAUUGACGGGGGCCCGCACAAGCGGUGGAGCAUGUGGUUUAAUUCGAAGCAACGCGAAGAACCUUACCAGGUCUUGACAUCCCUCUGACCUCUCUAGAGAUAGAGAUUUCCUUCGGGACA
rnacentral:rRNA from 1 species